GAUGAACGCUGGCGGCGUGCCUAAUACAUGCAAGUCGAGCGAACGGACGAGAAGCUUGCUUCUCUGAUGUUAGCGGCGGACGGGUAAGUAACACGUGUAUAACCUACCUAUAAGACUGGGAUAACUUCGGGAAACCGGAGCUAAUACCGGAUAAUAUUUUGAACCGCAUGGUUCAAAAGUGAAAUACGGUCUUGCUGUCACUUAUAGAUGGAUCCGCGCUGCAUUAGCUAGUUGGUAAGGUAACGGCUUACCAAGGCAACGAUGCAUAGCCGACCUGAGAGGGUGAUCGGCCACACUGGAACUGAGACACGGUCAAGACUACUACGGGAGGCAGCAGUAGGGAAUCUUCCGCAAUGGGCGAAAGCAUGACGGAGCAACGCGGAGUGAGUGAUGAAGGUCUUCGGAUCGUAAAACUCUGUUAUUAGGGAAGAACAUAUGUGUAAGUAACUGUGCACAUCUUGACGGUAACUAAUAAGAAAGCAACGGCUAACUACGUG
rnacentral:rRNA from 1 species